rnacentral:tRNA from 1 species
GGGGAUUUAGCUCAGUGGUAGAGCGUUUGCCUAGCAAGCACAAGUCCUGGGUUCAGCCCCCAGCUCA